CCUACGGGAGGCAGCAGUGAGGAAUAUUUGUCAAUGGGCGGGAGCCUGAACCAGCCAAGUCGCGUGAAGGAAGAAGGUACUUAGUAUUGUAAACUUCUUUUGUCGGGGAACAAAGGCGGAGACGCGUCUCCGGAUGAGUGUACCCGAAGAAAAAGCAUCGGCUAACUCCGUUCCAGCAGCCGCGGUAAUACGGAGGAUGCGAGCGUUAUCCGGAUGUAUUGGGUUAAAAGGGUGCGCAGGCGGGAGAUCAAGUCCGCGGUAAAAUGUCGGGGCUCAACCCCGGCCGGCCGUUGAAACUGUUGAUCUUGAGUACUGGAGAGGCAGACGGAAUUCCUGGUGUAGCGGUGAAAUGCGUAGAUAUUAGGAGGAACACCAGUGGCGAAGGCGGUCUGCUGGACAGCAACUGACGGUGAGGCGCGAAAGCGUGGGGAGCAAACAGGAUUAGAUACCCGGGUAGUC
rnacentral:rRNA from 1 species